CAGUCGCCGCGGGAAUACAGAGGGUGCGAGCGUUAAUCGGAUUUACUGGGCGUAAAGCGUGCGUAGGCGGCUUUUUAAGUCGGAUGUGAAAUCCCUGAGCUUAACUUAGGAAUUGCAUUCGAUACUGGGAAGCUAAAGUAUGGGAGAGGAUGGUAGAAUUCCAGGUGUAGCGGUGAAAUGCGUAGAGAUCUGGAGGAAUACCGAUGGCGAAGGCAGCCAUCUGGCCUAAUACUGACGCUGAGGUACGAAAGCAUGGGGAGCAAACAGGAUUAGAUACCCCUGUAGUCCCUGUCUCUUAUAC
rnacentral:rRNA from 1 species